AUUCCAGCUCCAAUAGCGUAUAUUAAAGUUGUUGCGGUUAAAAAGCUCGUAGUUGGAUUUCUGUCAAAGGUAAGGCGGUCCAUCUUAUGGAUGUGCAUCUGCCUAUGCCUUGGCAUCCUCAUGAAGAACGUUUUCGCGCUUCACUGCGUGUUUACGGUAUUCAUGACUUUUACUUUGAGGAAAUUAGAGUGUUCACGGCAGGCAAUCGCUUUGGAUACAUUAGCAUGGAAUAAUACCAUAGGACCUCGGUUCUAUUUUGUUGGUUUCUAGAGCUGAGGUAAUGAUUAAUAGGGAUAAUUGGGGGUCUUUGUAUUGCAACGUCAGAGGUGAAAUUCUUGGAUUGUUGCACGACAAACUACUGCGAAAGCAUUGACCAAGGAUGUUUUCAUCG
rnacentral:rRNA from 1 species